CUGCUUUUUCCCAUACCUCAGAUGGUCAUGGGUAUCUCAGAUGAAGCAGACUGGUAUUCAAUUGGAGAUUACUUUCAUGCUAUGUAGGUGGACCUUCACAGAUCAGAUGUGACAUAUGAGACUUUCUGAAUUCCCAAUGUCAUGCCAGUCACAAUGUUUCAAGUCAUGAGUUCAACAGAAACUUGGCAAGACAUAAAACGGCAAGAUGUUAAGUAAAUCUACAUGUGUAAAAUAGAACUAACAAUGCUCAGUGGAGAAAUGGUCCAAAGAAUGCAGAUCAUCUUUUACCUCUGAGGUUCCUAGGACAUCUGAGCAGGCCAUGGUAUUCCUUGAUAAAUAUGGACAGAGAAGGACCAAUGAAAGCCAGCUUAAUUAAUUAGGUCUGAGCUAAAGGAAGUUUUGAUCCAAGCCAACCUUUAGGAUUAGAAUUCUUCCAAAUGGUGACUUCUUUAUUUUCCAGAGUUCUAAUUCUGUUGAAGAGCUUCCAUUACCCUCCACACACACACAGGGCAAUGGGAUUGAUGACAAAGGAAGAACCCAGUUCUGUUCAUGUUUGAUCAAGAGCAACCUCAUGCAAUGGGAAUUACCCUCAAGCAACUGCAAACAGCUGCACUGUAUAUGGUGACAACCAUGUACUCCCCAAUUCUAUGCUUGAUUACUCAGAAAGUUCCUCUGGGCUAAAAAAGAUUUGAGCAUGUAGCAUCAUGUCUCAUGCAGUCUAACACAGCACAACUGAUGUGAAUGAGGUUAUUAUAAAGUCAAACACACCCAAUAUAUGCUAUUGAGAAUGUGAUACAGGCCACAAUGAAUAAAAAAGUAAUGA